rnacentral:rRNA from 1 species
AUGAACGCUAGCGGCAGGCUUAACACAUGCAAGUCAGGGGCAGCGUGAUGAAGUAGCAAUACGGAUUUGACGGCGACCGGCGCACGGGUGCGUAGCGCGUAUGUAACCUACCUUUAACAGGGGGAUAACACUGAGAAAUUGGUACUAAUACCCCAUAACACUCUGAGAGGCAUCUUUUGGAGUUGAAAGUUCCGGCGGUUAAAGAUGGGCAUGCGUAGCAUUAGCUAGAUGGUGCGGUAACGGCGUACCAUGGCGACGAUGCUUAGGGGUUCUGAGAGGAAGGUCCCCCACACUGGUACUGAGAUACGGACCAGACUCCUACGGGAGGCAGCAGUGAGGAAUAUUGGUCAAUGGUCGGAAGACUGAACCAGCCAUGCCGCGUGCAGGAAGAAUGUCUUAUGGAUUGUAAACUGCUUUUGUAUGGGGCUAAUAAUAACUUUGCGAAGUUAGAUGCAGGUACCAUACGAAUAAGGAUCGGCUAACUCCGUG